AGCCCACUGCGGGAUUCGAACCCGGGUCGUAGCUUUUGAAAGCCGACGGCUUAUACCACUCGUCUAAUGAC